rnacentral:lncRNA from 1 species
CUGGGCAGGAGCCUCCUGCUUCCCAGGUGAAGCUGCAGCCACCCAGCUGUGUGUGCGGACCCGGGCAUUUCUGUGCUCUUGGGGGCCAGGGACAGGCAGGGUCCCCGCCUCCUGGGGUGCAGCUACAGCCGCCCAAGCCAUGGCUACGGACCCAAGCAUCUCUGCACUCUCCGGGCCCGGGAAGCAGCCCCUUGCCCCAGCAGGCUCAGAAGUGCCUGCUCUCACUGCCUGGCCUCUCCCGGCGCCCUCUCCGAUCUCAGAGCAAAGUUGAGGCCAAGCCCAGAUAUUGAAGCUAUAAAGUUCUCUCUUAGCACUGCUUUGCUGUAUCUCACAGAUUUUGGUAGGCUGCAUUUCCAUGCUGAGGGAAUUCAUCACCACUAGACGGGACCUACAAGCAACACUCAAAGAGAAACUGCCUCAAAAAUGGCAAUAUCUUCUUUGUGCUUAAUGACCCUAACUUCAUGAAGACUUGGCAUAUAGGUUUCAUCCAUGUUGCAGCAUGUGUUAGAAUUUCACUUACUUCUAGAUUCAAUGCAAUCCCCAUCAAAAUAUCAACAUCAUUCUUCACAAAAUUAGCAAAAACAAUUUAAAAAUUUAUAUGUAACCGAAAAAGAAAAGUGCAAAUAGUGCAAGCAAUCCUGAGCUGAAAGGACAAAGCUGAAGGCAUCACAUCACACUACCUGACUUCAAAAUACAUUACAAGGCUAUAGUAAACGACAUGGUAUUGGUAAAAAUACACACAUGGAACAAUGAAACAAUUUAAAAAGCAGAAAAUGUCAUGUAUUUAUAACUAACUAAUCUUCGACAAAGAUGACAAGAGCUUACAUUGAGGAAAGAGAACCCUCUUCAAUAAAUGGUGCUGGAAAAAUUGGAGAGCCAAAUGCAGACAAAUAAAACUGGAAUUCUAUCUUCCACACAUGCAACAAUUAACUUACAACAAAUUAAAGAUUUAAAUAUAAGACAAGAAAAUACAAAAAAUACUAAAAGAAAAUCUAGGAAAAAGUAUUUUGGACAUUUGUCUAGGCAAAACAUUUAUGAAGACCUCAAAAGCACAAGCAACAAAAACAAAAACAGACAAGUGGGGCUAUAUUAAACUAAACAGCUUCUGCACAGCAGAGGAAACAACACAGUGAGGAGAAAACCUGUUGAAUGAGAGAAAAUAUUUGCAAACUAUCCACCCAACAGGGGCCUAAUGUCAAGAAUAUAAAAGGAACUCAAACAACUGAACAGGAAAAGACCAACUAAUUACAAAUAAUCCCAUACAACAGCGGGCAAAGGACAUGAAUAGAUAUUUUUCAGAAGAAAACACAAAUGGCCACAGGUGCAGCUCAUGCCUAUAAUUCCAGUACUUUGGGAGGCUGAGGUGGGCAGAUUGCUUGAGCUCAGGAGUUGGAAACCAGCCUGGGUAACAUGGUGAAUCCCCAACUCUACAAACAAAUACAAAAAUUAGCCAGGUGUGGUGGCAUGUACCUGUGAUCCCAGCUACUCAGGAGGCUGCACUGGGAGGGUCACAUUGAGCCUGGGAGGUCGAAGCUACAGUAAGCAGUGAUCAUGCCAACACACUCCAGCCUGGGUGACAAAGUGAGACCCUGUCUCAAAUAAAUAAAUAAAUAAAUUAAAUUAAUUAAAUAUUUGCAUUCAUUGUACAGAUGGCGGACAAAGGACCUGAUGUUAGGUUUGCCUGACAAUGACCCUCUACAUCAUAAACAGCAACAUAGCUCUUUUUUAAUAUUAAUGAAGUGUCCAUUAAUUAUUUCCUGUUUUCUUAGAACAGAAAAAAAAUAGGAGACUUUUUGGAGUCCUUUAAACUGGAGAUAUUAGUGGUGUAGAUAGCAUGUUAGCAAGCAGGAUUGGAGAAAUAUUUGAAAAACAAGAGUUGACAAGAUCAAUUUCCUGGAUGUAGCAUGGAUGUUGAUUAAAGAAACAAAUUUUUGAGGUUAAAUUACUGGAUUACAAUUCUGACUUCAUUAUUUACCAGCUGUGUGAUCUUGGGCAAGUUACUUGAUUUUCCUGUAUCUUAGACUUCUCAUUUAUAGAUUAGUAACAAUAUUUAUUUCUUUGGUACUUUAUAACAAUUAAAUAAAUUGAAAGACAAGGCUCUUAGA